GUCGAGUGUUUUAAAACACUCAAACGUCUGAAAUUGCUACGAUUUCAAUGUAGAAGAUUGUUGUUCCUUCCAAAGAUAAGGAAAGCCAUUUUUUUUCAUAUUUAUUGUUUUUACGGAAAACAAAUGGUAACAUCUCCGAAAUCUGAGACAUUCGAAACGAUUCAAACACCUUCUUCCAAUUAACAGUCUAGGUGUGAAUAAAUAUGAGAAUGCAAAGGUAAAGAAAAAAAUGUAAGUCUAAGAAAAGUAGCGUUGAAGUUGAGCGGCGUAGACAACAAAAUGUAGAUUAUCAACAAAGCCGCAGAGAAACAAGAAAAAAAUAACCCGGAUGCCCUGGAGAAGUAUCGUGAAUCUGAAAAACAAAGGUAUAACAGUUGCAAACAGAGUGGAAAAAUUAAAUUGGUACAUCAAAUGUCUUAUCUUACAAAGAUUACAUCAAAAGUAUAAAAAAUAACACAAGCAAAAUUACAGAGCUGAGCAAAAGCAGCAGUGGCUUAAUAAUGCAAAAAAUGUACCUUCACCAAUUAAACCUAUCGUUAGUAAGCAAACUGUAAGUAGGAAAAAAAUAAGCUAGAAAAUUGAGAAGAGUUUGCUAUAAAAAUAAUUCAGAAUUGCGUGUAGAGAAUGUAAAAUUACAUUCAUCAAUUCAUAAUCUGAAUAAAAGAUUGAAAUGUUUGCAGUUGAAACAACAAGUGAGAAAUGCAUUUCACCUAUCAAAAAUGUUAAAAAAUUUUUGAAUGGUAGAAAGAUUCCUGUUGAUAUUGAAAAUCGUUUACUAGAGAAUGAACUUAUAUUAAAGAAAUCUUUAAAAGUAGUUGUAUAUGGAAAUUUUAAUUAGAAAAUACAAUUUUAUGAGCUCUGUGAAAAGAAGAGUGAAAAUUCCUUACGAUGAAGGAAUCAACAGAAACGCAAUCAAUCAAAGAAUUCUUAGCAAUUUCUUAAACAAGACACUAUGAAAAAUAAAAUGAAAUGUUUUCUUGGUGACAAUAUUAGCAUAUAUCUUGGAAAGAAGGCAUGUAUUUCUAAAAACAAAGUAAAAAGACAAAAGAAGUAUUUGAAUGCAUUUUUGCGAGAUUUAUAUAACAAGUUUUUUAAACAAACUAAUUUAAAGUUAUCCUACAAAAUAUUUUGUAUUUAUAAACCAUUUUAUUUUCUACAGCCAACUGGUACAGCAAGAGACACUUGUGCUUGUGCAAUCCAUUAAAAUUUUAAAUUAUUUCUAAAUGAUUUGCAUGGUCAAAAUGUAAUUAAAAAAGAUCUUAUUAUCCAAAUAUUGAAAAUAUUCUUAGCGAUAAAGAUAGAACUGGUGAUUGUUAUAAUGUUAAGUGUUAUGUGUUUAGUCAUGAAUAAUUUGAAGUUUAAAAGAAUGUUGGUAAAAUUAUUAUAAAAUGUAUGAAAUUAUUUAGUUUUUUUAUCAAUUAAAGAAAGUUAUUUAACUUUUACUACAAUCUAUGGAUCAUUGAUUAUUUCAAUAUUAUUUACAAUCAUUAUUUAUAUGAUAA